rnacentral:rRNA from 1 species
AACCCGACUCCGUGAAGCUGGAUUCGCUAGUAAUCGCGCAUCAGCCAUGGCGCGGUGAAUACGUUCCCGGGCCCUGUACACACCGCCCGUCAAGCCAUGAAAGCCGGGGGGUGCCUGAAGUGUGCAGCCGCAAGGAGCGCCCUAAGGUAAAACCGGUGACUGGGGCUAAGUCGUAACAAGGUAAC